rnacentral:rRNA from 1 species
UACGGAGGGCUCAAGCGUUGUUCGGAUUCAUUGGGCGUAAAGGGCGCGUAGGCGGCGGGGUAAGUCAGGUGUGAAAUCUCGGGGCUCAACCCCGAAACUGCACUUGAUACUGCCUCGCUUGAGUACUGGAGAGGAGACUGGAAUUCCUGGUGUAGCGGUGAAAUGCGCAGAUAUCAGGAGGAACACCGGUGGCGAAGGCGGGUCUCUGGGCCGAUACUGACGCUGAGGAGCGAAAGCGUGGGGAGCGAACAGG